GAUGAAGAACGCAGCGAAAUGCGAUAAGUAAUGUGAAUUGCAGAAUUCAGUGAAUCAUCGAAUCUUUGAACGCACAUUGCGCCCCUUGGUAUUCCGGGGGGCAUGCCUGUUCGAGCGUCAUUAUAACCCUCAAGCCUAGCUUGGUGUUGGAGCAUGCUACCUAAGCAGCUCUUAAAAUCAGUGGCAGUGCCCUUCGGCUCUCAGCGUAGUAACUUCUCUCGCUAUGGAACCCGGAGGGUACGCGCCAGAACCCCCAACUUUCUAUGGUUGACCUCGGAUCAGGUAGGGAUACCCGCUGAACUUAAGCAUAUCAAUAAGCGGAGGA
rnacentral:misc_RNA from 1 species